GAAACGACUGCUAAGACUGGAUAGGAGACAAGAAGGCAUCUUCUUGUUUUUAAAAGACCUAGCAAUAGGUAUGCUUAGGGAGGAGCUUGCGUCACAUUAGUUAGUUGGUGGGGUAAAGGCCUACCAAGACUAUGAUGUGUAGCCGGGCUGAGAGGUUGAACGGCCACAUUGGGACUGAGACACGGCCCAAACUCCUACGGGAGGCAGCAGUAGGGAAUUUUCGGCAAUGGAGGAAACUCUGACCGAGCAACGCCGCGUGAACGAUGAAGUAUUUCGGUACGUAAAGUUCCUUUAUUAGGGAGGAAUAAAUGAUGGAAAAAUCACUCUGACGGUACCUAAUGAAUAAGCCCCGGCUAACUAUGUGCCAGCAGCCGCGGUAAUACAUAGGGGGCAAGCGUUAUCCGGAAUUAUUGGGCGUAAAGGGUGCGUAGGCGGUUAAAUAAGUUUAUGGUCUAAGUGCAAUGCUCAACAUUGUGAUGCUAUAAAAACUGUUUAGCUAGAGUAAGAUAGAGGCAAGUGAAAUUCCAUGUGUAGUGGUAAAAUGCGUAAAUAUAUGGAGGAACACCAGUAGCGAAGGCGGCUUGCUGGGUCUUUACUGACGCUGAGGCACGAAAGCGUGGGGAGCAAACAGGAUUAGAUACCCUGGUAGUCCACGCCGUAAACGAUGAGUACUAAACGUUGGUUAAAACCAGUGUUGAAGUUAACACAUUAAGUACUCCGCCUGAGUAGUACGUGCGCAAGUAUGAAACUUGAAGGAAUUGACGGGACUCCGCACAAGCGGUGGAUCAUGUUGUUUAAUUCGAAGGUACCCGAAAAACCUCACCAGGUCUUGACAUGCUUCUGCAAAGCUGUAGAAACACAGUGGAGGUUAUCAGUUGCACAGGUGGUGCAUGGUUGUCGUCAGCUCGUGUCGUGAGAUGUUGGGUUAAGUCCCGCAACGAGCGCAACCCUUAUUGUUAGUUACCAGCACGUAAUGGUGGGGACUUUAGUAAGACUGCCAGUGAUAAAUUGGAGGAAGGUGGGGACGACGUCAAAUCAUCAUGCCCCUUAUGACCUGGGCUACAAACGUGAUACAAUGGCUGUUACAAAGGGUAGCUGAAGCGCAAGUUUUUGGCGAAUCUCAAAAAACAGUCUCAGUUCGGAUUGAAGUCUGCAACUCGACUUCAUGAAGUUGGAAUCGCUAGUAAUCGCGAAUCAGCAUGUCGCGGUGAAUACGUUCACGGGGUUUGUACACACCGCCCGUCA
rnacentral:rRNA from 1 species